rnacentral:rRNA from 1 species
UACGGGUAGGUCGAGCGUUGUCCGGAAUCACUGGGCGUAAAGGGCGCGUAGGUGGCGUGAUAAGGGUGUGGUGAAAGCCCGGGGCUCAACCCCGGGUCGGCCGUGGCAACUGUCGAGCUGGAGCACUGUAGAGGCAGGUGGAAUUCCGGGUGUAGCGGUGGAAUGCGUAGAGAUCCGGAAGAACACCGGUGGCGAAGGCGGCCUGCUGGGCAGUGGCUGACGCUGAGGCGCGACAGCGUGGGGAGCAAACAGG